UACAGAGGGGGCAAGCGUUGUUCGGAAUUACUGGGCGUAAAGGGCUCGUAGGUGGCCAACUAAGUCAGACGUGAAAUCCCCAGGCUCAACUUGGGAACUGCGUCUGAUACUGGAUGGCUUGAAUCCGGGAGAGGGAUGCAGAAUUCCAGGUGUAGCGGUGAAAUGCGUAGAUAUCUGGAGGAAUACCGGUGGCGAAGGCGACAUCCUGGACCGGUAUUGACGCUGAGGCGCGAAAGCCAGGGGAGCAAACGGG
rnacentral:rRNA from 1 species